CGUGAUGAGUGAGGGGGACUCUGUGAAAAAAACAGCGAGCCAAUCCGCGUCGAGAUUAACACCUUGCGCAGCAGUGAUUGGCCCACAGCCCGGUGUUGUCGUUUGGAGCUCAGGACCCACGUGGGGGCGCGGACACUCACUCGAGCUCUCAUUGGCUGAGACCCCGCAUUUAAGAACCGCCCGUGGAGGGUCUCACUGUAUUAUUGGCCACGCUGCCACAAUCUGCCCCCCUCCUCCGCCUUGUUUUUCCGUCCGGGAGGAAACGGCCAGCCGCGCCGCCGCCGUCGUCGUUUCACAUCUUUCACGAGGCGACAUUCCACACCGAUCCUCUUAACGGUCUACAUUGGUCUUCAUCAUAGUCUCCAUGGACUCCUGAGAAAAGAGACUGUCCCCUAAGAAAAACAACAGAAUCAGUUGUUUCAGCAAGUGCCCCAAAAAGAAAUUUGUUUAUUUUCAAGUGUAAAUGUAGUGAUAAUGACGGGACGUUAUUAAAGAGUGACAAACACUGCGUAGGGAGGAGAUCGGGGUGGAUGGAUGGGUCAACAAAACAUCGGACUACGGUCCUUAAACUUUCACAGUCGUCAUUUUAACCCAAACCACAAUGUUUCUCUAACCUUAACAAAGUACUUAUUUUAGCUCAAACGAUGAUCAUUCUCUAAACCUAACCAAACCUUAACCACAGUGUUGUCACAUCAUAAAACAUAUUUAUUUCUCAGCAGUGAUUUGUAACGGUUUUGGAAGGCACAGAGAAGUAUUGUUGUUCUGCCGAUUACUGGCAGAUCGGAAAACGUUCAUGAGUCCAUGCACCAACAAUGUAUUUUGACGUUUAAUUUGCAGGACCUGAGAAAAAUAUCUGACUCUUUAGCUUUCCAAAUGGGGUUUUUCACCAAUUACUCACUAACUUUGUCUGUCUGCUGUUUUGUGCUGGGAAAGUAGCGUAAAGUGGCAAGUAGAGUAAAGUUUAAGGAGGUCAAAACUCCAGCAACACUUAGCUAUAUAUUUUUUUUACCUUUUUGAAUUCUUUUUCUUCAUACCUAAUUCAUUUAAAUGUUGUUUGUAAUGUGUUUCACGAUGACCCUGAUGAAGGCCAUAAGCCGAAAGGCAUUGGUCUAACAAUGAAGUUGUUCAACAUAGGCCUACAAGUAGCGUAAAUUUUACUAGGGCUUUUGCUAAAAGUCCUAAAUUGAUAAGAGAGCACUUCCUUGUUUUAUGAAUAAAGCAGUACACAAGUUGAAGCA